UACGGAGGGGCUAGCGUUGUUCGGAUUUACUGGGCGUAAAGCGCACGUAGGCGGAUCGUUAAGUCGGGGGUGAAAUCCUGGAGCUCAACUCCAGAACUGCCUUUGAUACUGGCAAUCUUGAGUCCGGAAGAGGUGAGUGGAACUCCUAGUGUAGAGGUGGAAUUCGUAGAUAUUAGGAAGAACACCAGUGGCGAAGGCGGCUCACUGGUCCGGUACUGACGCUGAGGUGCGAAAGCGUGGGAGCAACAGGGA
rnacentral:rRNA from 1 species